rnacentral:rRNA from 1 species
CGCACAGUGCUGCAUGGCACGGUGCGAAAAACUCCGGUGGUAUGAGAUGGACCCGCGUCUGAUUAGGUAGUUGGUGAGGUAACGGCCCACCAAGCCGACGAUCAGUAGCCGACCUGAGAGGGUGACCGGCCACAUUGGGACUGAGACACGGCCCAAACUCCUACGGGAGGCAGCAGUGGGGAAUAUUGGACAAUGGGGGAAACCCUGAUCCAGCGACGCCGCGUGACUGAAGAAGUAUUUCGGUAUGUAAAGGUCUAUCAGCAGGGAAGAAAAUGACGGUACCUGACUAAGAAGCCCCGGCUAACUACGUGCCAGCAGCCGCGGUAAUACGUAGGGGGCAAGCGUUAUCCGGAUUUACUGGGUGUAAAGGGAGCGUAGACGGCGCUGCAAGUCUGGAGUGAAAGCCCGGGGCUCAACCCCGGGACUGCUUUGGAAACUGUGGAGCUGGAGUGCAGGAGAGGUAAGUGGAAUUCCUAGUGUAGCGGUGAAAUGCGUAGAUAUUAGGAGGAACACCAGUGGCGAAGGCGGCUUACUGGACUGUAACUGACGUUGAGGCUCGAAAGCGUGGGGAGCAAACAGGAUUAGAUACCCUGGUAGUCCACGCCGUAAACGAUGAAUACUAGGUGUUGGGGAGCAAAGCUCUUCGGUGCCGCCGCAAACGCAAUAAGUAUUCCACCUGGGGNUGAGUCAGUAAAGGUAGACCCGAAACCGGGUGAUCUACCCAUGUCCAGGUUGAAGCUGCCGUAAAAGGCGGUGGAGGACCGAACGCACAUCCGUUGAAAAGGGUGGCGAUGAGGUGUGGGUAGGGGAGAAAUUCCAAUCGAACCCGGAGAUAGCUGGUUCUCCUCGAAAUAGCUUUAGGGCUAGCCUCGUAUUAGUCUGCCGGAGGUAGAGCACUGAAUUUCCUAGGGGGCGUCAAAGCUUACCAAAGAAUAUCAAACUCCGAAUGCCGGCCAGAUGAUGUACGGGAGUCAGACUGCACGAGAUAAGUUGGGCAGUCAAAAGGGAAAGAGCCCAGACCACCAGCUAAGGUCCCAAAGUGCGUGUUAAGUGGAAAAGGAUGUGGGAUUUCAGAGACAACUAGGAUGUUGGCUUAGAAGCAGCCACACAUUCAAAGAGUGCGUAAUAGCUCACUAGUCGAGAGGUCCUGCGCCGAAAAUGUCCGGGGCUGAAACACGACACCGAAGCUGUGGAAUCAGAAAUGAUUGGUAGAGGAGCAUUCUUAACGCACAGAAGCAUUACCGUAAGGAGAUGUGGAGUGUUAAGAAGAGAGAAUGCCGGAAUGAGUAGCGAGAUGGAGGUGGGAAUCCUCCAGGCCGAAUAUCUAAGGUUUCCAGAGUAAAGCUGAUCUGCUCUGGGUAAGUCGGGGCCUAAGGCGAGGUCGAAAGACGUAGCCGAUGGACAACAGGUUGAAAUUCCUGUACCGCAUAUCAUCAGAACUGUGGGGACACAGAACCGAGGGAGAACCCGGGAAUGAAAAGACCGGGGCAAGCAUUGGACUGGUUAAGCUGGAAAAUCCGCUUAGCAACAGGAAGGUGUGAUGCGUACCGAACAAAAGUAGGGAAGUCUCUGUAGGGGCUGUCAAGAAAAGCCGCUAUUGUGUGAUAUGUGCCCGUACCGUAAACCGACACAGGUGGAUGAGGAGAGAAUCCUAAGGCCGGCGGGAGAAGCAUUGUUAAGGAACUCGGCAAAAUGACCCUGUAACUUCGGGAUAAAGGGUGCCUGGGAAACCAGGCCGCAGAGAAUAGGCUCAAGCAACUGUUUAGCAAAAACACAGGUCUAUGCAAAACCGAAAGGUGAGGUAUAUGGGCUGACGCCUGCCCGGUGCUGGAAGGUUACGAGGAGGGGUUAGCCGUAAGGCGAAGCUCUGAAUUUAAGCCCCAGUAAACGGCGGCCGUAACUAUAACGGUCCUAAGGUAGCGAAAUUCCUUGUCGGGUAAGUUCCGACCCGCACGAAAGGCGUAAUGAUUUGAGCGCUGUCUCGACAAUGCACCCGGUGAAAUUGAAAUACCAGUGAAGAUGCUGGUUACCUGCGCCAGGACGGAAAGACCCCAUGGAGCUUUACUCCAGCUUGAUACUGGGAUUCGGUACUGCAUGUACAGGAUAGGUGGGAGGCUAUGAAGCAAGGACGCCAGUCUUUGUGGAGCCGAUGUUGGGAUACCACCCUUGCGGUAUUGGAUUUCUAACCUGCAGCCAUGACCUGGCUGGGGGACAAUGUCAGGCGGGGAGUUUGACUGGGGCGGUCGCCUCCGAAAGGGUAUCGGAGGCGCUCAAAGGUUCCCUCAGAAUGGACGGAAACCAUUCGAAGAGUGCAAAGGCAUAAGGGAGCUUGACUGCGACACCGACGGGUGGAGCAGGUAGGAAACUAGGACUUAGUGAUCCGGUGGUAUAAAGUGGGAUUGCCAUCGCUCAACGGAUAAAAGCUACCCUGGGGAUAACAGGCUUAUCACUCCCAAGAGUUCACAUCGACGGAGUGGUUUGGCACCUCGAUGUCGGCUCAUCGCAUCCUGGGGCUGUAGUAGGUCCCAAGGGUUGGGCUGUUCGCCCAUUAAAGCGGUACGCGAGCUGGGUUCAGAACGUCGUGAGACAGUUCGGUCCCUAUCCGGCGUGGGCGUAGGAUAUUUGAGAGGAGCUGUCCUUAGUACGAGAGGACCGGGAUGGACUGACCUCUGGUGUAUCUGUUGGCGAUCAAAGCCAUGGCAGAGUAGCCAAGUCGGGAAGGGAUAAACGCUGAAGGCAUCUAAGCGUGAAGCCCCCCUCAAGAUGAGAUAUCCCAUCGCAAGAGUAAGACCCCUUGA